GGGCAUACCCGUAGACCUUGCCUGACUGUGCUCAUGGCCAGGCAGGGGGGACAGUGUAUGCAAGAUUAAUUUGGAGUUCAUGCCAACUCUAGCCAGCUUAAUCAGUGGCUGGGUAAUUUGCUGUACUCUAACAUUC
rnacentral:snoRNA from 1 species